rnacentral:snRNA from 1 species
AUCACUUUUCGGCCUUUUGGCUAAGAUCAAGUUUAGUAUCUGUUCUUAUCAGUAAAAACGUUGGCCACUUACUAACUUAUAGGUAAGAACAAGUGUCCCAUUGAAGAUGAAGUGACCUAUCUAAAGUCAGGAAUAUUAUUUCGUUACAAAGCAAAAGCUCUAUUCCAACAUAC